rnacentral:tmRNA from 1 species
GGGCCUGUUAGGCUUUCGACGAAGAUCAUUCCCAAUCCCUCUCAAGCCGCGGGCGAAGCGUCCCGCGUUAUCACACGCUUCAGAAAGUACAUGCAAACGUAUUUUCAAAAGUGAAGGCAGUCGUCGCUUCUGCGCUCCGCAUGCCUUCCUUUGUUCCGGUCGCCGCGUAAUUACGCCGCCACCCACGACCUUUACGCUGCGAGUGCGUAAAGUCGUCGUGUCAUAACCCUUCUCGCUUGCCUUCGCAGUCAUGGCGCACUGCGUAAGGGACCGUUGCCGCGUCAUCGUCGGUUUCGUUGUUCGUCGCGUUUCUCGACCGAAAAAGACGUAAACCGCUUAAACGCGAAUGAGCUUGGAAGAAAGAGCUUUGGCGAGCGUUCCUCGGAUAUGGGUUCAAUUCCCAUCAGGUCCACCA